rnacentral:lncRNA from 1 species
UCUACAUUCCAAAGUGCCGGGACGUAGAAUGGGUCAACCGGUCUUUCUCUUAAACAUAUCAUAACAUAACAUUUCCAAGGUGCCGGGACGUAGAAUGGGUCAACCGGUCUUUCUCUUACAUAGUGCCGGGACGUAGAAUGGGUCAACCGGACUUCCAUACCAUGACAUACCGUACCAUAUCACAUCAUAUCAUAUGAGGAC